rnacentral:rRNA from 1 species
UACAGAGGGUGCGAGCGUUGUUCGGAAUUACUGGGCGUAAAGGGCGCGUAGGCGGCUUCAUAAGUCUGUUGUGAAAUCCCGGGGCUUAACUCCGGAAGUGCAGUGGAAACUAUGAGGCUAGAGUGCAGUAGAGGAUGGCGGAAUACCCAGUGUAGAGGUGAAAUUCGUAGAUAUUGGGUGGAACACCGGUGGCGAAGGCGGCCAUCUGGGCUGCAACUGACGCUGAGGCGCGAAAGCGUGGGGAUCAAACAGG